rnacentral:rRNA from 1 species
AACGAACGCUGGCGGCAUGCCUAACACAUGCAAGUCGAACGAGACCUUCGGGUCUAUUGGCGCACGGGUGCGUAACGCGUGGGAACCUGCCCUUAGGUUCGGCAUAACUCCCCGAAAGGGGUGCUAAUACCGGAUAAUGUCUUCGGACCAAAGAUUUAUCGCCCUUGGAUGGGCCCGCGUUGGAUUAGCUAGUUGGUAGGGUAAAAGCCUACCAAGGCGACGAUCCAUAGCUGGUCUGAGAGGAUGAUCAGCCACACUGGGACUGAGACACGGCCCAGACUCCUACGGGAGGCAGCAGUGCGGAAUAUUGGACAAUGGGCGAAAGCCUGAUCCAGCAAUGCCGCGUGAGUGAUGAAGGCCUUAGGGUUGUAAAGCUCUUUUACCCGGGAUGAUAAUGACAGUACCGGGAGAAUAAGCUCCGGCUAACUCCGUG